UACGUAGGGUGCAAGCGUUUAAUCGGAAUUACUGGGCGUAAAGCGUGCGUAGACGGUUAUUUAAGUCAGGUGUGAAAGCCCCGGGCUCAACCUGGGAAUUGCAUUUGAGACUGAAUAGCUAGGGUGCGGAAGAGGGAAGCGGAAUUUCCGGUGUAGCGGUGAAAUGCGCAGAUAUCAGGAGGAACACCGGUGGCGAAGGCGGGUCUCUGGGCCGAUACUGACGCUGAGGAGCGAAAGCGUGGGGAGCGAACAGG
rnacentral:rRNA from 1 species